UUUUUUUUUCUUUUUUUUUUUUUUUUUAGGGCUGCACCUGUGGCAUAUGGAAGUUCCCAGGCUAGGGGUCGAAUCAAAGCUGCAGCUGUUGGCCUAUACCACAGCCACAGCAAUGCAGGAUCCUAGGAUCCAAGCCACUUCUGUGACCUACACCACAACUCGCAGCAACACCAGAUCCUUAAUCCACUGAGCGAGGCCAGGGAUUGAACCUGCAUCCUCAUGUAUACUAGUUGGGUUUGUUACCACUGAGCCACAACAGGAACUCCAGGAUAUGUUUGCAAUAUCAAGAUGGAAAAAAAAAGGUAUAUCCAAGAGACCACUUUCACUCCUCCUAGAUUUACCUAAAUCACUGACAAUGGAAGCUGAUACUUGAAAACCACCAGCUUUAAAUACAUAUUCGAUUCCAUUGAGAUAACAGAAAAAUAAAUAUGACAAUGACAUGCCUAGAGUUAAAGAACAUACAUGUAGUCAUAAGUAUACUACUAAAGCUCUUCCAGAGAACCUGGAAUUAUAGCCUGAAAUUUAGCAUAACCAAGUUUAUUAUCACUUCCUAAGGUGGGGUUAACUACUGAGAGUAUAUCACAGUCAAUAUAAAGGAGUUAUCCUUCAGUCUUAAUCUUCAACAUAACAUUGCAGCCAGGCUCCAACACAUAAUAUUGGAAAAGGCAUUUUAGUAGCAUCCUGAAAAUAACAUGAAUUCCAUCAUCCAUCAUGUUUUCUGCAGGUGAAUAGGGAAAAAUAAUGAUUUAAUAAGAAACAUGGGUUUAGGAACCAGAAUUGUGACAGCAUCCGCAUUUGUUCACCAAUUCCUUUUGUAAGUAAAGUUUCUAUGUGGAACAUGCUAAAGUUCAAAAUGAGGGCACAUAAAAACUCAUUGCCUAUUUUAUUUUUUAUUUGCAGAUUUGUGCUACAGAUGAAACAACCAGGAACUACUGAAAUCUUAUCCAAUUAAAAUAUUGAAUUGUUUCUUCUGCUCUGAGUUAUAUUAAAAAUCUAUUCAUUUAGAUGACUGCCUUAUUAGCCCAUUGUUUAGUUAACAUUAUCCUCUGGUAAUGUGAAUGAAUAAUUCAAACUUUAUUUUUUGUAGUUUAUAUACUCUCAAAAGUUAAAAAUAACAGAGAUUUUAAUGUCUUGAGUUAUAUACAUGAUAUUAUGAAAAUCAUGGAAUUUGUUUUAUGCUUUUAUAUCUCUUAUCUCUAUUUUAUAAAGAAUUGCCAUGGCCUCCUGGCAGGAUUUUAUUAAUAAUUUGACCCCUAGACAUAUUCUACCCUCCUAGAGAACUCAAAUGGUAAAGUGUAAUGAAUUGAAGGAAUCCACAAUUGCUUUUACAUCUGUCAUUCUAAAACUGGGCCAUCUAAUAUGGUAGCCAUUAGCCAUAGUGACUAUUUAAAUUUUAGUUAAUUAUAAAAAUAAAUAAAAUUACAAAUUCAUCUCAGGGUUGUCAUUCCAAGUGGAUGACAUGCUUUACCCUUUCUGUCACACUGAAUAUAACUAUAACACCUGAAAAGAAUGCUCAGGGCAACUAUUUGAAAACUCUGAGAAUUAAACAGCAGGAAGUACAUCAGAAAGAACUCCAGAAUUUUGAAGUACCACAGAAUCAGUGAUGAAUUUACCAUUCUUCUCCUCCAGUAGCCUCCAACUUGAAUUCAUUGCAGCCCAACACCCAGAAGUAAGUACUGAGGCUCAGACAGACUGAACUCCAGGAGAAACACUCUAGACAUGCUUUAAAAGGACUAGGAAAGGGAACACUUAAUGUUCAGGAAGGAGAGUUUAUUUUCUCCCUUUUCAUGGCUGAGCCCCCAGACAAUCUCAUGGCAGAAUUGACAGUAACAGUCACAAGACCUUGUAAGAGCCAAAAUUCCUAGGGAAAAGAGGCCCCAAGAAAUCAAAAGGCACCUGGGAAAUGAUGAAGAUAGAAGAACUUGGGAAAGCAACUCUAUAAAGUUUGUUUAUGAACUCUGGGCUCACUCUUGACCUACAUCUGUGUAAUUUGGAUCAUAACUGGCAUAUCAAAGACAUUGAGAACUGAAGUAACAAUAAACAACUGCCUAGACCCCAGACUGAUCACGAUCACUGAGGGGUGCUCACCCAGGGUAUAGUCAAAGAGCACUACAAAGGCUUUGAAACGAAAUAAAUAUUGAACUUAUAGCCCACAGAAGAGAAGGAGGAAUUUGUGGACUAACUAGAUCAAUUGCCUGCUAAAAUGAAAAUAGCUACAUUUUCCAUAGAAUUUAAAUAAUGAGACUUGGAGUCUCAUUAUGUAAUAUUCAAAAUUUCCAUUAUAUAAUCCAAAAUUACUUGGUAAAUACUGAACCAAGAAAAUUUCAACUUACAUGAGAAAAGAAAAUCAACAGACAUCAAUGCCAAGACAACACAAUUGAUGGAUUAUAACAAAAACUGAAAUACUCAAACUAGUAACUGUGAACACUCUUGCAAAAUAUGUUAAAUUUUUAAGUCUGGGUAAAUGAAUAAAGAAGAGAAAACUGAAAAACAAAAUAACUGAUAUAAAAAUAUAUUGGAUGGCCUCAAUAGUAGAAUCGAGCUGAUACAGCAAAGAGUCCAUGAACUUAAAGGUGGAGCAACAGGAAUUAUCCAAUCUCAACAACAGAAAGAAUCAAGAAAAAAAUUUACGGUGCCUUGGGGAGCAAUGUGACAGUAGCAAAAAGUCUCAUGUCAUGUCAUCAGAGUGUCAGAGAGAGGAAAGAAAGUGUGACAAUGAAAAAAAAAAUUGAGGAAGCAAUGACUAAAAUUUUCCCAAAUCUGACUACAGAAAUAAAUCUGCAGAUACAAGAGCAAACCCUAAGUGGAAUAAAUCCAAAAAAAAAUCCAUGCCCACACUCACCAAAAUAAAACUGGUGAAAAGAAAAAAUAAAAAUCUUAAACCAGUCACAGAAAAACAACACAUUAACUAUAUGGGAACAAUGAUUCAUAUAGACUAGAAAGAAGAGACACAGUACUUUUACAGUACUCAGUGACUGUAAGCACUGAAUUCUAUAUUUAGUGGAAAUAUUCUUCAGUAAUGAAGGUGGAAAUAAAGAUAUUAUCAGGGAUAAAGAAAUACUAAGAUAAUUCUUAUCCAGCAGACCUUCUCUAAAAGAAAUGCCAAAGAAAGCUCUCAGACAGAAGGAAAAUGACACUAGAAGGAAACCUGGAACAAGAAAAAAAGAAUACCUAGAAAAAAAAUGACAAAUACUUUGAUAAACAUAAUAGACCAUUAUCUUCUCAAAUUAUUUUAAAAUAUGUUUGACAACUGAAAACAAAAAUUUUAAUGUUGAUUGAUGGGAUUUACAGUGCAGAUAUAAUACAUAAGACAUCUACAGCAUAACAGGAAAGGGCAAAGGGGUCUAAAAGGUGGUAAGGUUUUUACAUUGUAAUUAAAGGGGAAAAUGUCAAUUGAAUUAUAUCAUAAAAAGUUAAUUAUGUAUUUUAGAAUCCCUAGACUGACCACUAAAAAAAUUAUACAAUAUGAUAUAGUAAAAAGUCACAAUAGAUAUAAAUUAAAGCAGAAUACUGAAAGUAUUCAAAUAACCCAAAUAAAGCCAAAAAGGUGCACAAAAAAACAAUGUGAACAAGCAGAAAAUAAACAACAAAAUGGUAGACUUAAACCCAAACAUAUCAAUAAGUGCACUAAAUAUAAAUGGUCUAAAUAAGCACAUUAGUUAAAAGACACAGGUUGUCCGUAUUGAAAAAAAAAAAAAAAUGAAUCAACUCUAGGUUGUCCAUGGUAAACUCACUUUAAAUAUAACGAUAUACAUAGAUUGCAAACACUAAUCAACAGAAAGUUGUAGUGGUCACAUUAAUAUCAAAUGAAGUAAACUUGAGAGCAAAGACAAUUUUCAGGGAUAAAGAGGGAUAUCAACUAUUGAUAAAAUGACCAGUUCCCAAUAAGGCAUAGUAAAUUCAAAAUGUCUAUCCAUAUGCAUUGUAGUUUCAAAAUACAUGAAACAAAAACUAAAAGGAAACACAUGCAAAUCCAUGACUACAAUUAGAGAAUUUGACAGUCUUCUAUUGAUAGCAAUAGAAGUAAUAGAUGGAAACUAAAGAUAAAUAAGGACUAGACAAUGCUGUUGACCAACUGACAUUAAUAAAAUAUUCCACUCAACAAUACAGUCUUUUACUGUGUAUAGAGAACUUUUACCAAGACAUGUCCUGGAUCAUAAAACAAACCUUAAGACAUUUAAGAUAAUUGAAAUUAUGAAAAAUAUAUUUUCAAACCACAAUGCAAUUACACUGAAAAUCAAUAACAGAGAGAUAACAGAAAAAGGUUACAAACACUUGGAAGCUAAACAGCACUUCUAAAUAAUCCAUGGGUCAAAAAAAGAAUUCUCAAAGGAAAUUUUAAAAUAUUUUUUACUGAAUGAAAAUGAAAAAAUAGCAUAAUAAAAAUUGUGAACAGUUGCAAAUAUCUUCUAGUAGGAUAUUUAUAGUAUUAUAAGAAAAAAGAAAGGUUUCAAAUCAACCUAAGGUUCUACUUUAUGAAACUAGAAAAAGAAAAGCAAAAUAAAAGCAAAUUAAAUAGAAGGAAAUAAUAAAGAUGAGCGCAAAAAUCAAUGAAGUUGAAAAGAAGGAAGCAAUAGAGAAAAUUAAUGAGGCCAAAGGCUGGUUCUUUGCAAAGGUCAAUAAGAUUGAUGAACCUCUAGCAAGAAUGAAAAUAAAAAAGGAGACAACAGGAUUUACCAAUGUCAUAAAUGAAAUGAAAAUGAAAGGAAUAUGAUUACUAUACAUACAAAUGCAAUUUCUUCUUCCACUUGAUGUUGAAUGAAUAAACGUCAGACUAAUUUUUAGUCUUUGCAUGGACCUUCUUCAAGAAAAGGACAAAGGAUGCAUAUGUUGGAUUGAUUUCUGAGAUGUAUAGUUAGGAGUACUGAAUAGAAUUUACCUGUGUCAGUAUUUUUCAUGUUAGAAACUUGUCGCAGGAUUUUGACUAGAAUCUUAAACCAGACAUUACCCAAUGUUCACUAUUCAACUGGAACAACUCACUUUGGCUAUUUCAAACCUUCACAAAGACAUGGAGAAGGUUACAGGAUAAUUUAAAAGAUUCUCAAAGAUGUGUCUUUCUCUAAAAUAUCCCUCAUCCCAUUGAUUUACCAUAAUUUAUCAAAAAAAAACUGGAAAAUUUUAUUUGGGUUAAAACAUUUUGUUCAUAAUUACUCUAUUAAAAUGCAAAUAUCAGAGUUUCCCAUUGUGGCUCAGCAGACUAACAUUCAUGAGGACAUGGGUUCGAGCCCUGACCUCACUCAGUGGGGAUCAAACCUUCAACCUCAUGCUUCCUAGUUGGAUUCGUUUCCAUUGUGCCACGACGGGAACUUCUGGUGUUUUUUUUUGGGGGGGGGCACACCUGCAGCAUAUGGAGGUUCCCAGGCCAAGAUUCCAACUGGAACAGCAGCCGUUGGCCUACAUCACAGCUACAGCAAUGCCAAAUCUGAGCCACAUCUGCGACCUACACCACAGCUCACCACAAUACCAGAUCCUUAACCUGACGAUUGAGGCCAGGGAUGGAACCUGCGUCCUCAUGGAUGCUAGUCAGAUUCAUUUCCACUGAGCCAUGAACUCUUCCUUGAGUUCUGUGAGUUACUCUAGUAAGUUAAUCGAACCCAAGGAGGGGGUUGUAGGAACCUCCGAUUUAUAGCCAGUCAGAAGUACAGGUAACAGCCUGCGCUUGGGAUUAACAUCUUACAGGACUGAGCCCUUAACCUGGGGAAUCUAAUACUCUUUGCUUAGAUAAUGUCAGAAUUGAGUUGACUUCUCAGACACACUGCUGGUAUCUGAGAAUUGCUUGUUGGUGAUGGGGUAAAAACCCCACAUACAUGUUGAAAUUGGGUUCAGAGACACUUUAUUAAUGUUCUAAUGUAUUCUCCAAAAUAUCUGUAGAUCUGUUCUGGCACAGGAUAAAUGAUCAUGAAAUGGAACAAAAGCAAGGUAUAAUUAUGAAAGGGAUGAGUAUCAGAGUCUGAAUUGAAUUCUAAAAAGUCAAGACUAGGAAGAAAAAAACAUUACAUAACCCUAACCCCAGAAGCAAUAGGAACUUUUAAGAAAAUUGGUCAUACCCUCAUUAAAUUCCUAAAAACCAAGGAGGCAAUCAAUAAUGGGCAGGACCAGGCAGUCUGUCUAUGCAUUAUCCAUGCAGAUAUCAACAACAACAGCAACAACCAAAAAUAGAAGGGAUUAAUAUGAGCCCAUGUUCACGGACUUGAAAUAAAAGGAAGGUAUUAAGGAAUUAAGAAGUUCUGAUAACUAUAAAUCUAACAAUACAAUUACAAAUGAUCCUGGAGAAGAAGAAAAGGGCAAAGGCAACUAAUGAAAUUUAUUUGUCUAUAGGAAAAUUCUAAUUGACUAAUGGAAAGAUGUCUGCAUAACCAAGGAAAAUUUUUUUAAAAAGAAUGUAAAUCUUUGAAAUGCCUAAAGAAGAAAGAAAUGCAGAAUGAGCAAAGACUUGAAAAACCUGCUAUAAAAAAGAAAGGAUAGGGAAUACAUUUGCAGUAAGUUCAAAACUGAAGAAAAACAAGGAAGGAAUUGAACCAGUGCUUGGGGCAGAUGGCAAAAUGUUAACAGAUGCAGAAAGAAGGCAAAAUGCUUCAUUUUUUUCUAAAAUUUUAAAUUCUAUUUCUCUCAUUAUUUCUAGCAUGGAAAAUUAUCUUAAAACUGAAAAGCACCAAAAAAAAAAAAAAAAAAAAAAAAAAA
rnacentral:lncRNA from 1 species